UNGNANNNGGCNAAGCUGAUCAGCCAUGCCGCGUGUGUGAAGAAGGUCUUCGGAUUGUAAAGCACUUUAAGUUGGGAGGAAGGGCAGUAAGUUAAUACCUUGGCUGUUUUGACGUUACCAACAGAAUAAGCACCGGCUAACUUCGUGCCAGCAGCCGCGGUAA
rnacentral:rRNA from 1 species